rnacentral:tRNA from 2 species
CGGAGCGUAGCGCAGCUUGGUAGCGCACUUGUCUGGGGGACAAGGGGUCGUGGGUUCGAAUCCCGCCGCUCCGA